rnacentral:rRNA from 1 species
GAUGAACGCCGGCGGCGUGCUUAACACAUGCAAGUCGAACGGAAAGGCUCCUGCUUGCAGGGGUACUCGAGUGGCGAACGGGUGAGUAACACGUGGGUGAUCUUCCCUUCACUUCGGGAUAAGCCUGGGAAACUGGGUCUAAUACCGGAUAGGACUAUGGUUUGGAUGCCAUUUUGGAAAGUUUUUCGGUGUGGGAUGAGCUCGCGGCCUAUCAGCUUGUUGGUGGGGUAAUGGCCUACCAAGGCGUCGACGGGUAGCCGGCCUGAGAGGGUGUACGGCCACAUUGGGACUGAGAUAAGGACCAGACUCCUACGGGAGGCAGCAGUGGGGAAUAUUGCACAAUGGGCGCAAGCCUGAUGCAGCGACGCCGCGUGGGGGAUGACGGCCUUCGGGUUGUAAACUCCUUUCGCUAGGGACGAAGCGCAAGUGACGGUACCUUGAGAAGAAGCACCGGCUAACUACGUG